CCAGCAGUAUUAAAGUGCUUAUAGUGCAGGUAGUUUACUUUAAUGCUUCUACUGCAGUGUGAGCACUUGAAGUACUUCUAG
rnacentral:pre_miRNA from 1 species